GAUGAACGCUGGCGGCAUGCCUAAUACAUGCAAGUCGAACGAGAGGAAGGAAAGCUUGCUUUUCUGAAUCUAGUGGCGAACGGGUGAGUAACACGUAGGUAACCUGCCCAUGUGCCCGGGAUAACUUCUGGAAACGGAUGCUAAAACCGGAUAGGUAGCAGACAAGCAUUUGACUGCUAUUAAAGUGGCUAAGGCCAUGAACAUGGAUGGACCUGCGGUGCAUUAGCUAGUUGGUGAGGUAACGGCCCACCAAGGCGACGAUGCAUAGCCGGCCUGAGAGGGCGGACGGCCCCAUUGGGACUGAGACACGGACCAAACUCCUACGGGAGGCAGCAGUAGGGAAUUUUCGUCAAUGGGGGGAGCCCUGAACGAGCAAUGCCGCGUGAGUGAGGAAGGUCUUCGGAUCGUAAAGCUCUGUUGUAAGAGAAAAACGACAUUCAUAGGGAAUGAUGAGUGAGUGAUGGUAUCUUACCAGAAAGCCCCGGCUAACUUCGUGCCAGCCGCCGCCGUAAAAC
rnacentral:rRNA from 1 species